AACGAACGCUGGCGGCAGGCUUAACACAUGCAAGUCGAGCGCCCCGCAAGGGGAGCGGCAGACGGGUGAGUAACGCGUGGGAACCUACCCUUUACUACGGAAUAGCUCCGGGAAACUGGAAUUAAUACCGUAUGUGCCCUACGGGGGAAAGAUUUAUCGGUAAAGGAUGGGCCCGCGUUGGAUUAGCUAGUUGGUGGGGUAAUGGCCUACCAAGGCGACGAUCCAUAGCUGGUCUGAGAGGAUGAUCAGCCACACUGGGACUGAGACACGGCCCAGACUCCUACGGGAGGCAGCAGUGGGGAAUAUUGGACAAUGGGCGAAAGCCUGAUCCAGCCAUGCCGCGUGAGUGAUGAAGGCCUUAGGGUUGUAAAGCUCUUUUAGCAGGGAAGAUAAUGACGGUACCUGCAGAAAAAGCCCCGGCUAACUUCGUGCCAGCCGCCGCGUAAUAAAC
rnacentral:rRNA from 1 species